rnacentral:tRNA from 1 species
GCCCGCAUAGCUCAGCUGGAUAGAGCAACCGCCUUCUAAGCGGUAGGUCGUUGGUUCGAAUCCAACUGCGGGUG